GAGAAAAGCCUAAAAAAAAUACUUUCCUUCAUAAUUAAAUUACAAGGCCCAAAAUAAAAACAAAAGCCCAAGACUAAAAAAAAACAAAAGACCCAAAUCUCUUUACUUUCUCUUCCCCACGCCUCUCUCCCCUUUACCCCCAUUUCUCUCUUUUCUUCUCUCCCUCUUCUCUCUACCGACGCCCUCCUCUGUUUUCCUCUUCCAAAAAAUAUUUCCCAUUCAUUCUUCUUCUUCAAAUAUCGUCGCCUCUCUCCAGAACGGAGGUCACCGCCGCUGCCGCUGCAGCUGCUCCACGAAUCCGCCAUCGCGAACCCGCCGCCGUCGGCUUCUCCCAUUCCUCACCCUCCGUCGCCGGCCGCUGCUCGCCGGAAGGACCUACUGUCGCCAACGCGGGGUCAGGCGUCCGUCGUCCGCCUCUGCCCAGAACGCUGCUGCUUGCUGCGGUCGAAGUCGUGACGCCGCCGCUGCUGCUGUCGCCGUUCAGCCACCAGCAGCGCCGAGUCAGCUGUCGCCGCCGUUGUCGUGGCGGUCCAGCUGCCGGAAGAAAACAACCACCACUGCCGGCAGCCUUCUCCUUCCCCCCCGAGUCGCUACCCGGUAGCCCCGAACGUAACCCGAACCACCCCGAAACAUUCCGCAAGAUAAGUUCUAAUUACGAAGCUAUGUUCUUUCAAGUUUUCGAUUAAUCACGGCGGGAGUUCGAUUGGGGUUAAUUGUUGAAUUGUUUGAAUUACUUGUGGGAGGUGAAUGUAUGAAAUAAGUAACGAGACAUAUGCUAAACUUCAUGCUUUAGAGGGGGUAGAGAUUAUACCUCAAUGGAUUGAACUUGGUUGUGGAAGAACAAAGAUGGAAUGAAUGAGGAAGGUGGAAGGAUGGAAGAUGGAAGAGUUAGAAAUGGAGGGUCUCCAUGGUGAAGAACCGGCCGAGAAUGGGAGAAGGAAAGAAAGAGAAGAAGUAUUGGGCUUGCUCCCUCCUUUUGGAAUGAAUUGGGCUCCCAUUUGAUUUACUUGAUUCGGGCUUAUUUAGUUGCAAGCCCAAUUUGUAUAAUUCUUUAUUGGUUAGACUUUUUAAUUGUUGUGGCCCAAAGCCAUUUUAUAUAAACGUUUGGACUUCAAUUUUAAAUGAGAAGCCCAUUUAUAUAUAUACUUUACAUUCUCG